UCAAAACCUAAACUUUCAUCUUCUUCCCCUCCCUCUCUUCAACCGCCUCUCUCUCUUUUACUCGUCUCUUCUCCCCUCACCCUGCUUUCCUCUUCUCCUCCUCCGAAAGGAUCACCGGCGAGCAGCAGCCCCGACUACUCCAUUUUCUCCCUCUCGUCUUCCUCUUCUCCUCUUCCCUCGAUCCCUCUCUCUUUCCCCCUCCUCUCUGCUUUAUUCCUUUAUCCCCCUCCCGUCUCUUCUCCACAGCGAACUCCGGCGAGGAUCAAAAGCCAGCCAUCGGUGAGCAGCCGGACAACAGCAACAACUACAACUCCGGCAGAACCCCAGGCCACCAACAACUCCAACGAACAACAGCUUGCCUAAAGGGCGAUAGUAACAACACCAACUGCUCAAGCUGAGGCUCAAAUGACUAUGAUUUUAUACAAAACGGAUCUCCUCAGAUCCGUCCAGGUUUGUUUCCCCUUUUUAUUAUUACCUAAUAGUUUUCUUAAUGAUGUUCAUAAGUUAUCAAUAGUUUGUUAACCCAUUUUUAUUAUUACCUCAUAGUUAUUCUUAUUGAUGUUCAUAAUUUAUCAUUAUUAAAACUAUGUGUAAAUGUGUGUGAACUAUACUAGUGAUGAUUUUGUUUAAUCUUGCAGACUUCUUUCAUUAUUUUGAUAACACUUUGGUGUUAUAUGUUUGAGGCCCGUAAAUGGAUAUUGGUUUUGAACUUAGAGUUCAAGAUGUUGAAGAGUUACCUAGAAGAAAAUUCAGUCAAAGCUUCAUUUAUUUUUAUGUUUCUUUUUCUUUAUUUCUGCUUGUAAUGUUUGUAAAACUCUCUAACUAUAUAUAUGUAUGAAAUAAGUUUUAGGGGGUUGUCUAAGGGGAGGGAAAUUAUGUGCAUUCAUCUCUUUGCGAAUUUACUUGUGUUAGAAAAGCAUGCCUAUAGGUUUGUAACUUGUUCGAUAAUCCUUGUGUAAUAAAACGAAUUUAAUUCUAGCUAAAAGAUAAAAAAAAUAAAGUCAUCUUUGCUUGAUAA